GUGCAUUCUGUAAGGCGCUCACUUCACACAGCUAGUGGUUCGGGGCCCGUCUUUGUAUGCAGGAAAAAAGAAAAAAUAUGAAGAAGGAAAAAGAGUGGGUGGGGGGGAGAAAGGAUAAGAUCUGGGGAGAGCGAGGGAGAUGGCGUUUGCGAACAAGCGGAGGAUAAUGCUGUAUUUGCUGCGUGAAGCGGAGGUAAGGAAACACGGCUAAUAUAUCUGGGAUGCGCAGAGGGCUGGAUGCAUGUUUCAUCGACCAGUGAAAGCAUGGAAAUCGGAGACUAAUCGCCCACAGAGCUUGC